UUGGGUAUUUUAAACGCAAACAGAAAAAUCCGCAAGCGCACGGAUACCGAUGUAGCCUUCACCCGGGAGUAUUCCAGAGUAUCGAUUUUCCACAGAGAACGUGAGUGUACUAAUUAAGAUCCAAGAUCGCCCAAGGAUAACUAUAUGAAUAUUUUUGGUGGGAAGAGAGGAAGUUUCCUGAGAGUUCUCUAGUUGAUCUAAGAAUCAAGAAUUACUUCAAGAUUAUCUAUAUCGGGACAUCAGAGCACUAACCACAGAAAGAGAUGAGAAGGGGGCUAGGAAGGUCUGACUACGGUCCUACAAACACCGAUCCGAACGAGGUAGAAUACGUCGACCAUUAGGGCUGUCACUACCCUAAGGCUACCACAACAAUCCGCAGGAUUGGGUGCAAUUCCAGGUAAUUGCAAGACUAAACACCACGUCUAAUCUAUUAAUUACUACUCUAGCGUUAUAAAGACUAGAGCACUUGAUGCAAGCGGGAAUCCAAUAAAUAACUUGAAUGUAAAUAAAAGUAAUUAAAGAACUCAGGAAUUAUGAAUUGAAGAACCUGGAGAACGAUGAAGAACGAACCAGUUGUUGCAAAAGUACAAUGUUGAGGAAGAUCCGACAGAUCCGGCUCCUCCUCUGCUCUCCUCUUCUCUCUCCCUAUUUUCUAGAUUACAACUAUAACUAACUAGAACUAGAACUAGAGGAACUAGAACUAGAACUAGAUGAACUAGAACUAGAACUAGAUGAACUAGAGGUAGAACUAGAAGAACUAGAGGGAUCCUCUCUACUUGGAUGAAGAAUUGAAACCCUGACUUUGAUUCUGUAGAAGAGGUAUGAUCUCCAGGGGCCAGGAGGUCUGGUUUUAUAGUCCCUUCAAGUGAAUCUGGGCCAUCGGAUCAAACCGACAUUAAUCGCACGGUUUUCCUUGAUCCUUUAGGUCGGUGGAGCAUAAUCCGCGAAACGUGUCCUGAUUGGGCACUGUAGCUGGGCGAGCGCCCAGAAGAGUUGGGCGGGCGCCCUGCCUCCGAGCCCGAUUGCCUUCCCGUUCGGUCCCGUGGCUUCUGGAGUCUUCUAGAUGAUAGAAAAUUGUACGGCACGUUAAUAUCUCUAUGUAAACCCGACGUGUGGGCCUUUCUUCCGUAUUUCCUGAUAACCCCCUGCAGAAAUAGACAAACACCAAAACUCGUGGAAUUCUGUCAGAUAAAACCCUAAGUCUAGGUGUUGCUUGCAUUUGGAUCCUUUUCCAUGAUUAAUUGAUGGUUAAAUGUGAGCAUUAAGGACCGUCAACAAGCUCCCCCAAGCUUAACCUUUGCUCGUCCCUGAGCAAAGCUAAAAUCAUCAAGAAAACAGGGGUUACUUUUAUGCCUUUUACUAAAGGGGUUUUAAGUUAUCACUAAGGUCUUAAGUGAUUGAAAAACAGAAUGAUCAAGUCAAGCACUAUGUCUCAAGUUCUUCUGUCUUACCUUUGUUCUGGAGUUGUUUGUAAGUUUCCAAAAUAAAUCUGAGGCAUUUGCCCUCUUCUCGAAAGAUAUAUAAGUAGAGCUUUAAAAAUUUUAGCAUACUUACUUUGCAUUUUGCUAUGUCAAUGCUCGGAGCAAGGGAGAGGAAUGUCAUACUCCUAGAUCAAGACCUUUGACCUUUUUGAAGAGUUUGUCAUCUCUUACUGGCAUAUUGCUUAUUAGAGGGACCAUGGGCUAUCAAUUUUUUUCCUUUUUUUUUCUCUUUUUUUUAGUCUCUUUUUUUUCAAGUGGGCAGCAAGUACCCCUAAUUCUACUGUCGGACACAUGUCCAUUUUUUUCACUCAGGUGGGUAUCUUUGUACCCCUAAUUCUACUUCGGACACUUGUCCAUUUUUACCUCUCAUCUCACUCUUUUUUUUUCGAAUCAAAUUUUUGCAUAGUCCCAUGCCUCUAACGCAAUAAUACUUCGGAAGAGUGAAUCUUUUAUAUUUUUAAAACAAAAAGAUCUUGAUCUUGGGAGCAUGAUAAUUCUCUCAACCAAAACUACAAGAAUUAACAAUGGCUUGAACAAAGAAAGUACCCACAGUUUUAAUAUUUAUUUCUUAUAAGACUCUAGGUAUUAUGAUCUCAUUUUUUUUUAUGAAUUUUUAGAUUUUCAAAAGAUAAAAUCUCCAGAACUCUAGCAAAACUUGGAACAAGUUAAAUAGUAGCUCAGACCUUCUCAUAUCAUGUUUGUCAAUUACCUAGACUUGAAUCAAACUUUCUUUUUAUUUUAUUUAAAACUUAGUAUUACAUAAAACUAUUAUAUAUUACUCAAAACAAAAACUGUGUUUGGUUUCAUGGUUAUGCAUUUUUUUCAUUUCUGAAUACUAGUAAAUAAAACUAAGAAAGAAAAAUAAUACUUAUCUUGAUUUAUUUUUUUUUAUUUAGCAAACUAAGCAAAGAUAUAUAUAUAAGCACAAAAUCUUUAUUUGGGUUUCUAUGAUUAUGCAUCAUUUUAUUAUUAGAGUAGUAUAAACGUGAGUAGAAUACUUAGCUGGAUAAAUGGGGGUGCUCUCCCCCAAGCUGGAUUUUGACGUAUUUUCUUCUGUUGUAGCUAGCACAUGGCGGAGGUGAAUUUGAAUGUCUGCAGCACUCUGACAGCGAGUAGGAUGUCCUCCGUCUGCUAGUCUUCUUUGAUCCUUGAAUUCUGUGGAACUCAAAUAGACAACAAAGCUUUGUGGAACUAGUUAAGUGUUAGCAUAAAUAUCUAACCUUUAUCAUGUUGAGCCUCCUCAAUAAAUAUUACUUUCUUUGGUAGGAUCAUAAAUUUAUUUUUAUAUUUUUAUUUUUAUAGGAUAGGAAUAUAUUUAUUUUAUUUUUACGCCACCACUGUGAAUGUACUUAUGGGUUUUAUGCCAUGAGCAUACUCACAUGGGGCUUACUAUUUUUAACAUUUUUAUUUUCUUUUCAAGAUGAUGUGAACCUGAUUAACUAAGCAAACUAUUUUAAAUAAUUGAAAGGAGAAAGAUAACUACCAAGUUUACCUCUUGGCAAGGCGUUCGGUGUUUUUAAGUCCUCCGAACGGGACUCUCCGUUUCCUCAGUCGUCCUGGGAUUUGCUGGAUGGCGUAGUUGGUGGUUCCGGUGGAGCCUGCUCUUCAUGUAUAACUAUCUUUUUUCUCCACACCUGACUCGAUGCUACGGUCUCCUCAGGACAGUUCUGUUCAAGUUAUAUGACUUCAGACCUUACAACUUCUCCAUCAUAGUCUACCCAUCCGUCCUUGAUGAUUUUGCCUUCUCUGGUUGCGGUUGCGUCUUCUUCUUCUUGUCUUGACCUGCUUAGAGUCUUCAACUAUAUAAUUAAGGUCAGUAAAAUAGCGGCGUACCUUGUUAGAGGGGAAGUGCAUGUGGACUUCUCUGGUUCCAAUCUAGAUGAUUGCUUUAACAGUACUGAGGAAUGGUCUUCCAAGGAUGAUGGGUGGAUCGUACUCGUCUUCUCCCAUGUCAAUAACCUUCAAUCUUUCAGAAUAUCUGAUCUACCAUCUGAAGCUGAAUGUAUGUCGGUUUUAGGGGCAUGGUUCCGAAUAGGAGCUGAUAGGUGACUGGCGGCCAUUAUGUCGACGCCUGACCCGGUGUCGCAAAGCAUCUUCUGGAAGUUGUAUCCAUCAAUGGAGCACUGGAUGCUUGGCAUACUUGGGUCGUCCUUUUUGGUUAGGAACGGUGACUUAAGUUGACGAUCUUGACCUCCUUGAGCUGCAGUGACCAUCUUAGCUGACGCGGUACACAUUUGCUUGUUCUUGUUCCUCCUGUUGGUCCUCUUCCUUGGUUCAUGUCGGGAUUGCUCUGGGAUUUGUGUAGUCUUGUUUCUUGAAGGAAAACGUCUCCUUCAUCCCCUUGAUGUAGAAACUGAUCUUGGCAGCACUAGCGUAGAUGACAGCUCCCGAAGUGUUUAGGAAUGGCCUCCCAACUCGGACGCAGAGGUUCUUCAAUAUUCCCUGGGCAUAAUGUUGACGCUGGAGCCAAAGUCGUAGAGUGCUUCUAGGAAGUCCACCAUGUCGAUGGAGAUCGGGAUGACGGAGCGUCCUGGAUUGUCUCUCUUGACCGGCAGAAGGUCAGUAAUUACUUCCACAGCGGGGUUACUCCAGUAGUUACGUCCUCAAGCAUCUCAGGGCAGUGAUUGCCUGAGUGUCUAGUCUCUCCAGUGUGUUUGUGCUCGUAGAUCUAGGUUCUUCACUUGGUGGAGUCUAGGAGUUGUAAAAGUCCUUCAUAUUUUGCUCAAAGUGUACCUGCUCAUAGAGACAAGGCAGAGAUCAAGUGCAUGGGCCCUGUUGGUGAAAAACACCAACAGAACCAAAAGUGUAUUUAUUCUUCUCUAUCCUUAAGCAUAGUGAGCAAAACAAAGUUGAUGGAUAAUAAGAUCAUGAGUGUAGCAUUUAAAACAUUCGUCAGAUCAGAUUACUCAACCUAAUGGAAAGAUAAUCUAUCUAUACUUAUCUUUUUUUAUAUAUCUUCCAAAGAUUGCAUGUGCAACAUUUUAGCUCAUAUUAGGAGUAUGGGAUCACAAAGGUGGAAGGACUAAACAUGUUGAAUCGAUUGGGUUGGUUAAUCUAGAGUUGUAAAUCAUACAUGUUUGUCUCUUUUCUUCAUGUGAAUGCCAGAACCAAGGAGAAGCUUAUAGAAGUGAUAGUCAAGUACCUUAAAAUGUUACCUUACUUGAAGAAUGGUGGUACAGUAUCACCUUGUGGAAGCUUUCCUCUCUUAGCGGUUGUGCAUCGUGUUUGUGGCACCUCCAUGGAUCAUCUCUUGUGAGCUAUGCCUUCCUUGUGUAAAUUAUUAAACUUCAUGUGUGUCUCUCUUUGUCUCCAAUGUGAGUUUAUCUCAGGACUUCCCAGGUCGAUAUUGAAAGUUUUCCUGCAGGGGUUAGUCCAACAAAAUAUACCAAUGUCUACACAAGCAGUUUUUAGUUCAAUAACCAAACUAGACUCCAUGUCUAAUUAGAUUAAGGAAGGCUGUUUAACCUAAGCACCAUGCUUAAUUUAAAAACCAAUAGAAGUAUGUACAGUACUUCCAAACUAACACUUACUAGGAUAAACAAAGGU
rnacentral:lncRNA from 1 species